ACUCUGGAAUAAGCGCUGGAAACGGCGUCUAAUACUGGAUACGAGAUCAAGCCGCAUGGUUAUGGUCUGGAAAGUUUUUCGGUUUGGGAUGGGCUCGCGGCCUAUCAGCUUGUUGGUGAGGUAAUGGCUCACCAAGGCGACGACGGGUAGCCGGCCUGAGAGGGCGACCGGCCACACUGGGACUGAGACACGGCCCAGACUCCUACGGGAGGCAGCAGUGGGGAAUAUUGCACAAUGGGCGAAAGCCUGAUGCAGCGACGCCGCGUGAGGGAUGACGGCCUUCGGGUUGUAAACCUCUUUCAGCAGGGAAGAAGCGAAAGUGACGGUACCUGCAGAAGAAGCACCGGCUAACUACGUGCCAGCAGCCGCGGUAAUACGUAGGGUGCGAGCGUUGUCCGGAAUUAUUGGGCGUAAAGAGCUUGUAGGCGGUUUGUCGCGUCUGCUGUGAAAAUCCGGGGCUCAACCCCGGACUUGCAGUGGGUACGGGCAGACUAGAGUGUGGUAGGGGAGACUGGAAUUCCUGGUGUAGCGGUGAAAUGCGCAGAUAUCAGGAGGAACACCGAUGGCGAAGGCAGGUCUCUGGGCCACUACUGACGCUGAGAAGCGAAAGCAUGGGGAGCGAACAGGAUUAGAUACCCUGGUAGUCCAUGCCGUAAACGUUGGGCGCUAGGUGUGGGACUCAUUCCACGAGUUCCGUGCCGCAGCUAACGCAUUAAGCGCCCCGCCUGGGGAGUACGGCCGCAAGGCUAAAACUCAAAGGAAUUGACGGGGGCCCGCACAAGCGGCGGAGCAUGCGGAUUAAUUCGAUGCAACGCGAAGAACCUUACCAAGGCUUGACAUAUACCGGAAACUUCCAGAGAUGGUUGCCCCCUUUGGGUCGGUAUACAGGUGGUGCAUGGUUGUCGUCAGCUCGUGUCGUGAGAUGUUGGGUUAAGUCCCGCAACGAGCGCAACCCUCGUUCUAUGUUGCCAGCACGUUAUGGUGGGGACUCAUGGAAGACUGCCGGGGUCAACUCGGAGGAAGGUGGGGAUGACGUCAAAUCAUCAUGCCCCUUAUGUCUUGGGCUUCACGCAUGCUACAAUGGCCGGUACAAAGGGCUGCGAUACCGCAAGGUGGAGCGAAUCCCAAAAAACCGGUCUCAGUUCGGAUUGGG
rnacentral:rRNA from 1 species